rnacentral:hammerhead_ribozyme from 1 species
UGCUGAAGAGUCCCACAAUAGGAUGAAACGGCCGUCCA